GAUUAACGCUGGCGGUGUGCCUAAGACAUGCAAGUCGAACGGACUAACUAGAAUCAAGAAGCAGGAAGCAAGAAUCACGGGCUGUGAUGGCUCUUGAUUCAUGAUUCAUAAUUCAUGAUUCAGGUUAGUUAGUGGCGGACGGGUGAGUAACACGUUGGUACCUGCCCUUUAGUGGGGAAUAACUCCGGGAACCGGGCUAAUACCGCAUACGAUCCUUCGGGAUGAAGCGAGCAAUCGCGCUAAAGGAGGGGCCUGCGUCUGAUUAGCUAGUUGGUAGUGUAAUGGACUACCAAGGCGACGAUCAGUAGGUGGUUCGAGAGGAUGACCACCCACACUGGGACUGAGAUACGGCCCAGACUCCUACGGGAGGCAGCAGUCAGGAAUCUUCCACAAUGGACGAAAGUCUG
rnacentral:rRNA from 1 species